GACGAACGCUGGCGGCGUGCUUAACACAUGCAAGUCGAGCGAUGAAGCUUCCUUCGGGAAGUGGAUUAGCGGCGGACGGGUGAGUAACACGUGGGUAACCUGCCUCAAAGUGGGGGAUAGCCUUCCGAAAGGAAGAUUAAUACCGCAUAAUAUAAGAGAAUCGCAUGAUUUUUUAUCAAGAUUAUUGCUUGUAGAUGGACCCGCGGCGCAUUAGCUAGUUGGUAAGGUAACGGCUUACCAAGGCAACGAUGCGUAGCCGACCUGAGAGGGUGAUCGGCCACAUUGGAACUGAGACACGGUCCAGACUCCUACGGGAGGCAGCAGUGGGGAAUAUUGCGCAAUGGGGGAAACCCUGACGCAGCAACGCCGCGUGGUGAUGAAGGUCUUCGGAUUGUAAAGCCCUGUUUUCUGGGACGAUAAUGACGGUACCAGAGGAGGAAGCCACGGCUAACUACGUGC
rnacentral:rRNA from 1 species